UACCAGCACCCCGAGUGGUCGAGACGAUUAUUGGGCCUAAAGCAUCCGUAGCCGGCCUUAUAAGUCCCCCGUUAAAUCCAACUGCUUAACAGAUGGGCUGCGGAGGAUACUAUAAGACUAGGAGGCAGGAGAGGCAAGCGGUACUCAGUGGGUAGGGGUAAAAUCCGUUGAUCCAUUGAAGACCACCAGUGGCGAAGGCGGCUUGCCAGAAUGCGCUCGACGGUGAGGGAUGAAAGCUGGGGGAGCAAACCGG
rnacentral:rRNA from 1 species